CGCUGGGGAGGUCGUUGGGUCGUGGGGAGAAGUAUCUUUACUGAGUUUUCUGUGAGGUUCUCACCAGGGAAAGCUGACUCUCAGCUUUGAAGAGGGGCUGUUUUCAGUAGUAAAGAGGAGUUAUUUUGGCUAUGAAUUAUCAGUGAAAAGUUGCUUUAAGGCUGGACUAAGCAGGUUUGCGAACUACUUUGAGCUGAACUUGUGCUCUUAGAAGUUGGUUUGGAGGAUAUUUUAACCUGGGCGAGACUACGAUCGAGCCUUGGAUUGCGUUCGGCUGAGUUGUGAGGACUCUUAGAGGUUACAUUUGAGGGUUGAAGUCUAGUAGAGCUGAAUUUCGGGACGUCGUGGAACUGAUUUGAGCCUAGCAAUAGGUCGGUUUGACCUAACCAGAGCAAGUGAAGCUCCCCCUAUGUUCUAUAUGUUACUAUAUAAUUGAUAUAGUCGUGCGUUUUGUCACUAUAUGGUCGCUAAAGGAUUUGGAACAUCUGUGCUAUAACGUUUGACAUAAGGGAAAUAGAACCUCCAUGAAGUAGAGAGAACUCAUGCAUAUUUGUAUUUAUGCUCGUGUUUAUGUUUAGU